CAAGAUAUAGUUUAAGGAGAAUGCUGGUUUUGGGGACCAGAGGUGGGGGUUUAAGUCCUCUUGUUUUGA
rnacentral:tRNA from 1 species